CCCUUAGAUGUUCUGGGCUGCACGCGCGCUACACUGAUGCAUGCAACGAGUUUUCGACCUUGCCUGAAAAGGUUGGGUAAUCUGUUUAACAUGUGUCGUGAUGGGGAUAGACCAUUGCAAUUAUUGAUCUUCAACGAGGAAUUCCUAGUAAGCGCGAGUCAUCAGCUCGUGCUGAUUAUGUCCCUGCCCUUUGUACACACCGCCCGUCGCCCCUACCGAUUGAGUGAUCCGGUGAAUGAUUCGGACCAGCGUGCUGCUCAGAUCCUGCGCAGUGUGCUGGGAAGUCUAGUGAACCUUAUCACUUAGAGGAAGGAGAAGUCGUAACA
rnacentral:rRNA from 1 species